rnacentral:misc_RNA from 1 species
CAACCCCUCUAUACCCUUGGGUGUAGGUGUUGAGGGCCUGCGGAAACGCAGCCCUCCAAAGACAUUGGCGGACCUCCUAUGGUAUCCGAGCGCAGUAACAUAACUCUCGCUAGGGAAAACCGGGACGGACUCCUGCCGUAAAACCCCCAAUUUUCUAAGG